rnacentral:lncRNA from 1 species
CAGCUUGGCUCUUCUCCAACGUCUUCUCUUCGAGUUGUACCUGAUUUUAUUACCAGUUUUCAUUUGAAGCCAUUGGGGGAUGGGACGAUUCUGCUUUUGCUUCUUGCCUAGGAAUCUCCUGAUCCUGAAAGUCUUGUGAGAAGACAUGGCGAGGAACUAAUUCAACCGCACAUAGGAUGGUGGAGAAGGGAAGAGCUGCGAUGUGUUUUUUUUUUUGUUUUUUUUUUGGCUGCACCUGCAGCAUUCGGAAGUUCCUGGGCCAGGGACUGAACCUGUGCCACAGCAGCAACUUGAGCCACAGCAGUGAUGAUGCUGCAUCUUUAACCUGCUGAGCUGCCAGGGAACUCCAAGGAUAUGUUUUGUCUUUUUAGGGCCGCACCAGCGGCAUAUGUAGUUCCCAGGCUAGUGGUGAAAUUGGAGCUAUAGCUGCUGGCCACAGUCACAGCCACAGCCACAGCAACGUCAGAUCCGAGGUGCUUCUGCAGCCUAUGCCACAGCUCAUGACAACACCAGAUCCUUAGCCCACUGAGCGAGUCCAGGGAUCCGACCUGAGUCCUCAUGCAUACUAGUUGGAUUUGUUACUGUGGAAACUCCCCAGGGAUGUGUUUUGAAGUAAAACUCUCAGCCCUAUUUUGGUUCUCUUUUAACCUGAUCACACAAAGGAGAAUAUCUCAGUUUGAUACCAGUAUGUCUCUGAUGCUUUUCCACCCCUCCCUUUUAUUUUAAUAAAGAGAGAGCAGACCUCAUGGCAUAGAGCUUUCAGCAGAGAAUUCUAGUUAAUAUUUGAUUUGGAGGGAAGUCUUCAUUGUAUUUAUGUUUUAUGGUUGCCUACAACUUAUGACAAAUGAUAUUGGUUUUCCAUUUAUGGGAGUGUUACAAAGCUUCCAUUUUCAAUAAAUAUAUUUAAUUUUUUUUAGAAAUGAGAGUUACUUUAAUAUAAAUCUAUGAAGUAAAUAAUAGUAUAGGUAAGACUACACACACACACACACACACACACACAAACUAGAGAUGGUGGUUCUUGAGUGACUGCAGUUUAGGAAAUGUCAUCCUGAGUCUGGAUUCCUUUGGUUCUGCAAGCACAGCCCCUGACAUCAUUGGGCCCUUCAUAAAUCCAGGAUGUCCCUCCAUCUCUGGUAGCCCACUAUACUUCAUCUUCUCCCUUUUCUGGUUGUUCAUGCCUUUAUUUAUUCACCCUACAUUUACUGAGCACCUACCAGGUUUAAAGUCACAGCCUCAGUUCACAGCAUCCCACUGGGAAACAUUUUAUUAGUGUAAUGGUUCCUGGAAAGAACCUUCCUAGCACCUUAUUUAGUAAAAACAGAAUAAAUGCAGACAUAGGUCCAUAAUGUUGUGGUCUGUGCACGUGGGUUGGAAGAAGAAUUUCCAGACUCAUAUCAGGAAAAGGAAGGAUAGUUUAUUGAGCACGGGCAAGGUGGAGAGAAAGUCGAGUUGACUGAGAUAAGAGAUGCUGCAAGUGCAGCGGGAUGACUUCCUGGUACUCAGGGAGAGCCAACAAUGAGCUCAUGGUCGUGUCUGUUUUUACAGCCCAGGGAGAAGGGAGGUCUUGAGAUAUAUCUGCUGACCUGCUGAUUGUUCGGGGAAGAGGGGCCUUACCAUACACUUGCUGCUUGGUUGGGGGCAUAUAAGGCCCAGAUAGGGGUGGGGUGAGGAGUGGGCCACAUACCUCUCCUAGUAGGGGCAGGAAGGAGUAGGCCUGGAUACUCAGGGUGGGGGAGGGACACAUUACAAUGCGAUGGGUGGGGCGAUGAUAAGAGUCUGGUAGUUCUUGCCUUGGCCAGAGGCUUUGAGUUCAAUCUCCUUGAAGGGGCCUUGAAGCCCAACACUUAAUAGUGGCGCUCUCUUGUACUUGCAUAUGAAUGAGCGUCUUUGACUCAGAGAGAAAGAAGGAUUAGUGUGCUGGGAAUUAUACUCCUCCCUCCCCCAUCCUAUAUGUAAAGAGGGUCUUGCUUUUGUGAAUAUGACCUGUCAGGUGUAUCCAAUUCGGUUAUGGAGCAUCAUCGGAGGAUUUUAUUUUAUUUUAUUAUUUUUUCUUUUUAUGGACACACCUGCAGCAUAUGGAUGUUCCUGGGCCAGGGGUCUAUGCCACAGCCACCGCAGCACCAGAUCUGAGCUGCAUCUUCUGCACUGCACCUUGUGGCAACUCCAGAGACUUAACCUCCUAACAGAGGCCAGGGAUCAAACCCACAUCCUCACAGAGACAAUGUUGGGGACUUAACCUGCUGAGCCACAACAGGAACUCCCAUUGGAGGAUUUUAAAACAGAAGAUUGUACGAUUGGGUUUGGGUGUCAGCAUGUUUAUUUUGGUGGCUGUGAGAAUGGGCUGGAGGGAAGGGCUCUGGGUGUGUUAGGAGACCACUGACUGAAACUGCCCACCUUGGCCAGGUACCAUAAUAGCCUCUUGCAUGAGUUGUCUCACAACAGGAGACCUCAGUAAGGAACAUGGUGCUGCCCUGAAGGCUAACAGGUACGAUUUGGGAGGGGCCAAUUGGAGGGAAGAGAUGACAAACCUCCCAGGAUCCUUGGUGCUGGAAUCCAUCUUGGCUGAGAGGUGCAUGAACCACACCAACUAAGGGCUGGAGUUUCCCUUGUGGCUCAGUGGUAAUGAACCAGACUAGUAUCCAUGAGGACGAGGGUUCAAUCCCUGGCUCUGCUCAGUGGGUUAAGGAUCUGGCAAUACCAUGAGCUAUGGUGUAGGUCGCAGAUGUGGCUUGUCUCCUGCGUUGCUGUGGCUGUGGUGUAGGCUGGCAGCCGUAGCUCUGAUUUGACCCCUAGCCUGGGAAUCUCCAUUUGCCAUGGAUGUGGCCCUAAAAAGCAAAAAAAAAAAAAAGUUAACCCUUGUGAUUCUGCCCUGUUACCUCAGCAUUGGCCAAUCAGAGAAUUGUGCAUGAGCUGAUCACUUACCUUGCAACCCAGCUCCUUCACCUGGCUUAUAAAAAUGAUUUACCAUUGGGAACUACAUCUAGUCACUUAUGAUGGAGCAGGAUAAU